CAGGUGAGACUACCCGCUGAAUUUAAGCAUAUUACUAAGCGGAGGAAAAGAAACUAACUAGGAUUCCCUUAGUAGCUGCGAGCGAACAGGGAAAAGCCCAGCACCGAAUCCCGUGGCGGACAUCUGUCACCGGGAAAUGUGGUGUUAGGGAGGGUCCAACUAUCCCGAGAUCGUGCGGCGCGUCCAAGUCCUUCUUGAACGGGGCCACAGCCCAUAGAGGGUGCCAGGCCCGUAGUGACCGUUGCCGAUUGCGGGAGGAUCUCUCCUCAGAGUCGGGUUGCUUGAGAGUGCAGCCCUAAGUGGGUGGUAAACUCCAUCUAAGGCUAAAUAUGACCACGAGACCGAUAGCGAACAAGUACCGUGAGGGAAAGUUGAAAAGCACUUUGAAGAGAGAGUUCAAGAGUACGUGAAACCGUUCAGGGGUAAACCUGAGAAACCCGAA
rnacentral:rRNA from 1 species